rnacentral:rRNA from 1 species
UACGAAGGGGGCUAGCGUUGCUCGGAAUCACUGGGCGUAAAGCGCACGUAGGCGGCUUUUUAAGUCAGGGGUGAAAUCCUGGAGCUCAACUCCAGAACUGCCCUUGAUACUGAGAAGCUUGAGUCCGGGAGAGGUGAGUGGAACUGCGAGUGUAGAGGUGAAAUUCGUAGAUAUUCGCAAGAACACCAAUGGCGAAAGCAGCUUUCUGGGACGGUACUGACGCUGAGACGCGAAAGCGUGGGGAGCGAACAGG